rnacentral:piRNA from 1 species
AUAUAUAAAGGACUGUGGGUUGUAU